rnacentral:rRNA from 1 species
UACGAAGGGGGCUAGCGUUGCUCGGAAUCACUGGGCGUAAAGGGUGCGUAGGCGGGUCUUUAAGUCAGGGGUGAAAUCCUGGAGCUCAACUCCAGAACUGCCUUUGAUACUGAGGAUCUUGAGUUCGGGAGAGGUGAGUGGAACUGCGAGUGUAGAGGUGAAAUUCGUAGAUAUUCGCAAGAACACCAGUGGCGAAGGCGGCUCACUGGCCCGAUACUGACGCUGAGGCACGAAAGCGUGGGCAGCAAACAGG